UUAUAAAAAAGCUCCCCACUACAAGUCAUUAAUUGCUAUUUCUCUAGCAUAUGGUGCAGCCACAUCACCUUAAUAAUUUUGAACCAUCCGAUCUUUGAUCCGACGGCACCUCCGUUCUCCUGAUCCCUCUGUAUGCCGCCGUCCAUCUGGGAUCUUUGAUUGAACAACACCUCCGUUCUUGGGGUACCUCCCUAUGCCGCCGUCUAGCCAGGGCGCUCGCCUGCCGCACAUCCCUAUCGCUACCGCCUCUCCACGCCUACUUGGGAUGCGCCUCCUGCACUCCCACCGCCCGGCCAGGGCGCUCAUCCGCCGCGCCUCCCACCAUGCUUGCCCGGGCCGUGCCUCCCGUAGCCCUGCUGCCACGCCUGGCCCCUCACCUCCCGUUGCGCCAUGGCCGCACGCCUGCUCGGCCUGUGCCCCUCCUCCAUGUCACGGAGCGCCUCCAUCCGGCCCGUCCAACUCCCACACCUACGCCUCCUCGACUGCCUGUGCCAAUGAAUUCUAUGUCAUUAUAUUAGCCGUUCUUGCCAUGGUGGAGUCGUUCUUGGCAUUAAUUUCCACCAUUCACAAAAGCCCCCAUCCCAUUGGACGCUCUAUUGUUGUGCUUACGGCUGCCUGCAUCUCCAAGUCUGCAUCCCGAAGCCCCAAAGACCUCCCUGCUGCUGCUGCUGGACCAAAUUCAUGGAGUCCAUAUAGAUGGAGGGGACACCUUCCUCAUCAAAGCAAAAAGUUCACGUAAAUUGAUUUCUCUUCUAGAUGCAGCAGCAACAUUGCUCUUCUUGACAAUUUAGGUGAAGGAAGGUGCGACUUUCAUACUGCUUCCUCUACUUGCAGGCAAUAAUGGAUAUGAGACGCAUGGUCACAUCCUCAUAGGCAUGCCAUUCAGUGUUUUACUUCCAUUUUUAUUAAUUUCAUUAUUUGAUCAUUUUUCAAAAAAAUCAUUGUUUCUAAAAGUUGUUUCAGAUUCACAUGAUUAAUUUUAUUCCAUCCACCUACAAGACAUGUCACUUUCUGUUUUUGUCUUGGAGCCUAUCAUCUUUUUAUCAGAAAACAAGAGUUGCAGAUAAAGUGGCAGCUUAUCACUGGCUGAGGAUGAGGUAAGUAAAUGUAAUGCCUUUGUAGCUUACCUAGACCAUUCCAUGUUUGAUUGCUCAUCAGGACAAUAUAUGGUUAUACACAUCAACCAAACAUUAUAAAUGAGGAGGAGAAACAAGAGAAGAGCAAGACAUGCUCCACUCAAUCUCCAAUAGACUCUUUGCUUCAUCAGUUCACAAUCUACAUGAAAAACCAUUUUUAUUUCAAAGCUCGAUGAACCUUGGUUAAUCUAAGAUAUAUUAAGUGCAUCUAAAUUAUGCCAUCUUUAAUAACCUCUUUCUUGCUAUUGACAAGCUGAGCAAGUUUCUCUUGUAGCAAAGAUAUUCUAUGCAAGAGCUACCUUUGAUAUAGAUGGAAACUUUAUAGCGGCUGGAGGACGCGUGCUUGGGGUCACUACAAAAGCCACAGACAUCGAGGAAGGAAGGGCCAGACUUAUGAUGGCAUCUUCAGUAAUCUCUUUCUUACUCAUAAUCAAGAUAAAGAUAAAUCAAAUUUUCUUUCUCAACACAUCAAACACACUAUUUCUUUUGUUUAAUUUUCUGUCAUUGCAAGUAAAAAAACAACUGCCAAGCUCAUCCACAAAGGAUCAACCCUUACCAUUCAUUGGACAACUAUGAUCCAGGUACCUCUUAUAGUACUGUAUGCAGCUACAUGCUAAUCCUCAUGUACACCAUCGCAAGUUUGUAAUAUAUGUACAGUCAUGAUGUAUACAUGCAUUUCAGUCACCAUUAUUUCCAUCCAA